rnacentral:rRNA from 1 species
GUGGGGAAUUUUGGACAAUGGGCGCAAGCCUGAUCCAGCAAUGCCGCGUGCAGGAAGAAGGCCUUCGGGUUGUAAACUGCUUUUGUACGGAACGAAAAGGCUCUGGUUAAUACCUGGGGCUCAUGACGGUACCGUAAGAAUAAGCACCGGCUAACUACGUGCCAGCAGCCGCGGUAAUACGUAGGGUGCAAGCGUUAAUCGGAAUUACUGGGCGUAAAGCGUGCGCAGGCGGUUUUGUAAGACAGACGUGAAAUCCCCGGGCUCAACCUGGGAAUGGCGUUUGUGACUGCAAAGCUGGAGUGCGGCAGAGGGGGAUGGAAUUCCGCGUGUAGCAGUGAAAUGCGUAGAUAUGCGGAGGAACACCGAUGGCGAAGGCAAUCCCCUGGGCCUGCACUGACGCUCAUGCACGAAAGCGUGGGGAGCAAACAGGAUUAGAAACCCGUGUAGUCC